rnacentral:hammerhead_ribozyme from 1 species
GUACUGCUGACGAGUCCCAAAUAGGACAAAACUGCUGUCCAGUGC